rnacentral:rRNA from 1 species
UACGUAGGGUGCGAGCGUUGUCCGGAAUUAUUGGGCGUAAAGAGCUUGUAGGCGGUUUGUCGCGUCUGCUGUGAAAUCUCAAGGCUCAACCUUGAGCUUGCAGUGGGUACGGGCAGACUAGAGUGUGGUAGGGGAGACUGGAAUUCCCAGUGUAGCGGUGAAAUGCGUAGAUAUUGGGAGGAACACCAGUGGCGAAGGCGGCUCACUGGACCGGUACUGACGCUGAUGCGCGAAAGCGUGGGGAGCAAACGGG